rnacentral:rRNA from 1 species
UACGAAGGGGGCUAGCGUUGCUCGGAAUCACUGGGCGUAAAGGGUGCGUAGGCGGGUCUUUAAGUCAGAGGUGAAAUCCUGGAGCUCAACUCCAGAACUGCCUUUAAUACUGAGGAUCUUGAGUUCGGGAGAGGUGAGUGGAACUGCGAGUGUAGAGGUGAAAUUCGUAGAUAUUCGCAAGAACACCAGUGGCGAAGGCGGCUCACUGGCCCGAUACUGACGCUGAGGCACGAAAGCGUGGGGAGCAAACAGG